rnacentral:rRNA from 1 species
UACGUAGGGACCAAGCGUUGUUCGGAUUUACUGGGCGUAAAGGGCGCGUAGGCGGCGCGGUAAGUCACUUGUGAAAUCUCUGAGCUUAACUCAGAACGGCCAAGUGAUACUGCAGUGCUAGAGUGUGGAAGGGGCAAUCGGAAUUCCUGGUGUAGCGGUGAAAUGCGUAGAUAUCAGGAGGAACACCGGCGGUGUAGACGGCUUGCUAGACCAUAACUGACGCUGAGGCACGAAAGCGUGGGUAGCAAACAGG